ensembl:lncRNA
UUACCAUUACUACUACCACCAUUACCACUACCAUUACUACUAGCACUAUUACUACCAUUAAUAAUAACACUAUUGCUACUACAACUAUUACCAUUACUACUACUACUACCAUUACUACUAGCAUUACUGCUACUACUAACAUUUACUACUACAAGUAUUACUACUACUACCAUUAGUAGUACUACUACUACUACUACUACUACCAUUACUACUACUGCUACCAUUACUACUGCGACUACCAUUACUACUACUACUAUUGCUGCUACUACUACUACUACCAUUACUACCACUGCUAUCAUUGCUAUCACUACUACCACUACCAUUACUACUACAACGACCAGGGGCGGCAGGGUAGCCUAGUGGUUAGAGCGUUGGACUAGUAACCGAAAGGUUGCAAGUUCGAAUCCCCGAGCUGACAAGGUACAAAUCUGUCGUUCUGCCCCUGAACAGGCAGUUAACCCACUGUUCCUAGGCCGUCAUUGAAAAUAAGAAUUUGUUCUUAACUGACUUGCCUAGUCAAAUAAAAAACUACUACUAUCACUAUCAUUACAGUUAUUACUAUUAUUACUACCAUUACUACUAUGGCCAUUACUAAUACUACCAUACUAUUACUACUACUAAUACUAUUACUUCUACUACCAUUACUACUAACACUACCACUACUACUACCACCACCAUUACUACCACGACUACUACUACCACUACUACUACUACUAUUACCAUUGCUACCACUACUACUACCAUUACUACUACUACUACCAUUACUACUACUACCACUACUGCUACUACUACCAUUACAACUGCUACUACUACUAAUACUACUACUGCCAUUACUACUAAUAUCACUACCAUUACUACUACAACCACUACUACUACUAUCAGUACUACUACCAUUACUACUACUAUCACUACCAUUUCUUCUACUACUACUACCACUACUAUCAGUACCUCUACUACUACCAUUACUACCAUUACUACUACAACUACUACUAUCAGUACCUCUACUACUACCAUUACUACUACUACUACUACUACUACUACUACCAUUACUACUACUACUACUACUACUAUCACUACUACUACUACUACUACUAUCACUACUACUACUAUCACUACUACUACUAUCAGUACUACUACUACUACUACUAUCAGUACUACUACUACUAUCAGUACUACUACUACUACUACUACUACUACUACUACUACAUCAGUACUUCUAAUACUACCAUUACUACCAUUACUACUACCUCUACUACCAUUACUACUUCUACUACUACUAGUACUAUCAAUACUACUACCAUUACCUCUUUUACCAUUACUACCAUUACCACUACUACCUUUACUACUACUAUCAGUACUUCUAAUACUACCAUUACUACUACUACUACUACUAUCAGUACUACUACAAUUACUACCACUACUACUACUACCAUUACUACUUCUACUACUAAUAUCACUACCAUUACUACUACUAUCACUACCAUUACUACUAAUAUUACUACACUACCAUUACUAUCACUACCAUUACUACUAAUAUUACUACACUACCAUUACUAUCACUACUAUCACUACCAUUUCUACUAAUAUCACACCACAUUUCCUUCAGGAAAAGUCCUUUCGUAGUUAUUUAUUUAAUGUAUUGUUUUUUCGCAGGGGUCAGCACAACCAGAGUGUAAUGGCCAAGCCUCGCCUUGGGUGGACCUCUUUUGUGAUGAAGGUGUCUCCCCUGCCAGAUAAAUAUAAACGCACACGUUGAUGUCAAUGCAUUAGUGAAAGCCAGUUCAUUGAUGGAGUUGAAAUUAAGUUACAAAGUACGUCAGUCAAGGAGGACUGGUUAGAGGAGUAGUGUUCUGGUCUCUCUCUCUGGUUAGAGGAGUAGUGUUCUGGUCUCUCUUCCCAGUAAAACUCUGGUUAGAGGAGUAGUGUUCUGGUCUCUCUCUCUGGUUAGAGGAGUAGUGUUCUGGUCUCUCUUCCCAGUAAAACUCUGGUUAGAGGAGUAGUGUUCUUGUCUCUCUCUCUCUGGUUAGAGGAGUAGUGUUCUGGUCUCUCUCUCUGGUUAGAGGAGUAGUGUUCUGGUCUCUCUCUCUGGUUAGAGGAGUAGUGUUCUGGUCUCUCUCUCUGGUUAGAGGAGUAGUGUUCUGGUCACUCUUUCUGGUUAGAGGAGUAGUGUUCUGGUCUCUCUUCCCAGUAAAACUCUGGUUAGAGGAGUAGUGUUCUGGUCUCUCUCUCUGGUUAGAGGAGUAGUGUUCUGGUCUCUCUUCCCAGUAAAACUCUGGUUAGAGGAGUAGUGUUCUGGUCACUCUCUCUGGUUAGAGGAGUAGUGUUCUGGUCUCUCUUCCCAGUAAAACUCUGGUUAGAGGAGUAGUGUUCUGGUCUCUCUCUCUGGUUAGAGAAGUAGUGUUCUGGCCUCUCUCUCUGGUUAGAGGAGUAGUGUUCUGGUCUCUCUCUCUGGUUAGAGAAGUAGUGUUCUGGUCUCUCUCUCUGGUUAGAGGAGUAGUGUUCUGGUCUCUCUCUCUGGUUAGUGGAGUAGUGUUCUGGUCUCUCUCUCUGGUUAGAGGAGUAGUGUUCUGGUCUCUCUUCCCAGUAGAACUCUGGUUAGAGGAGUAGUGUUCUGGCCUCUCUCUCUGGUUAGAGGCGUAGUGUUCUGGUCUCUCUCUCUGGUUAGAGAAGUAGUGUUCUGGCCUCUCUCUCUGGUUAGAGGAGUAGUGUUCUGGUCUCUCUCUGGUUAGAGGAGUAGUGUUCUGGUCUCUCUCUCUGGUUAGAGAAGAGUAGUGUUCUGGUCUCUCUCUCUGGUUAGAGGAGUAGUGUUCUGGUCUCUCUCUCUGGUUAGAGGAGUAGUGUUCUGGUCUCUCUCUCUGGUUAGAGAAGUAGUGUUCUGGCCUCGCUCUCUGGUUAGAGGAGUAGUGUUCUGGUCACUCUCUCUGGUUAGAGGAGUAGUGUUCUGGUCUCUCUUCCCAGUAAAACUCUGGUUAGAGGAGUAGUGUUCUGGUCUCUCUCUCUGGUUAGAGAAGUAGUGUUCUGGCCUCUCUCUCUGGUUAGAGGAGUAGUGUUCUGGUCUCUCUCUCUGGUUAGAGGAGUAGUGUUCUGGUCUCUCUCUCUGGUUAGAGGAGUAGUGUUCUGGUCUCUCUCUCUGGUUAGAGGAGUAGUGUUCUGGUCACUCUCUCUGGUUAGAGGAGUAGUGUUCUGGUCUCUCUUCCCAGUAAAACUCUGGUUAGAGGAGUAGUGUUCUGGUCUCUCUCUCUGGUUAGAGGAGUAGUGUUCUGGUCUCUCUCUCUGGUUAGAGAAGUAGUGUUCUGGCCUCUCUCUCUGGUUAGAGGAGUAGUGUUCUGGUCUCUCUCUCUGGUUAGAGGAGUAGUGUUCUGGUCUCUCUCUCUGGUUAGAGAAGUAGUGUUCUGGCCUCUCUCUCUGGUUAGAGGAGUAGUGUUCUGGUCUCUCUCUCUGGUUAGAGGAGUAGUGUUCUGGUCUCUCUCUCUGGUUAGAGAAGUAGUGUUCUGGCCUCUCUGGUUAGAGGAGUAGUGUUCUGGUCUCUCUGGUUAGAGGAGUAGUGUUCUGGUCUCUCU